GCCGCCGUCCCGCGCCCGCUAGCGCUCGGCGUCCCCCGCCCCCCGCUCCGUGGCUGUCACCGGCCGGUCCCCCCGGCCGUCCCCGCCCGCCUCCCCCUGUCUCUUUCCAUCUCCCGGUCUCCGCGGCGUUUCUCUGCCUCCUUCCUCGCCUCUCCCGGCCUCUCUGGCUGUCCCCGGCUCUCUUCCUCACUGCCUCUCUCUUUUUCUCUUACCCCUCUCUCCUCGGCUGCUCUCACCACUUCCUCCCUCCCUCUCCGGCUUCCUUCUACCUCCCCUCACUCUCCCCCCUUUCUCGCCUUGCUCAGGGGGACUCGCUAUCUCUUUCUCUGUCUCUCCUUGGAACAGCGGCCCCCAAAAUGCAACUGAAGCCAUUUCCCUGCUCUGAGACCUCGGACAAGUCACUCCCCGCCAGGGCUGCAGUUUCCUGUCUCUAAAAGGAGUUGAUGAGCAGCUCUAGCUUCAGGGAUGUUUCCCGGACCGAGUGUGGCUUCAGAGUCAGAGAGAUGUGAGUUCAAGACCACUUGCUUAGGAGGAAGCAAAAGAGGAGGAGAAGGCAGAGGAAGGCGACGACUGAGAACAAAAGAAGAGCAGUGGCAAAGGAGUGGCUUUUGUGGACAAGAUGCGACCACCUCAUGAGGAUCAAGAUGUACUCCUUGCUCUUCUCUGCACAGCAGUCUCAAAACUAGGCUACACCGUCUGUCUCCUCUGGUCACCAUUUUGAGAGGCAGCAAGGGUCUUCCUAACCCUCAGCUCCCUCUGAUUUUUGGAAUUCAGAUUUGGAUUUUGGAUGUACAUCAAGAGGCUGGCUCCACGCAUUUUAAUUAAGUUGUCUUUUUUCAUUUAUUACUAAUACACUCCUCUUAACUAUGAUUUAUUGGUUAAACAAAGCACCAUAAGCCGUCACUUAUUCAUCUUAAUUUCAACAAAAUUAAAGUAGUCGCUGUUAGAUUGCACCUAAUUGCACUUGCAAUGAAAAGAACGGAGAUGUUAAUCAAAAUAAAUUGAAGAUAAACAAUAAAAUCAUUACAUCUUUGCGGU
rnacentral:lncRNA from 10 species